AGUAACGCGUGAGGAACCUGCCUCAAAGAGGGGGACAACAGUUGGAAACGACUGCUAAUACCGCAUAAGCCCACGGCUCGGCAUCGAGCAGAGGGAAAAGGAGCAAUCCGCUUUGAGAUGGCCUCGCGUCUGAUUAGCUAGUAGGCGGGGUAACGGCCCACCUAGGCGACGAUCAGUAGCCGGACUGAGAGGUUGACCGGCCACAUUGGGACUGAGACACGGCCCAG
rnacentral:rRNA from 1 species